UAACAUUCAAAUCUGAGAGGAAUGAGUGUUGUAAACAGUUUCUUUUUCUAUCUUUGGGUACUAUCUUGUGACAUUAGAGAGAGAAGUUAUUAGACCAACAUAAUUUCCAGAUGUGUUGAGCUACCUCACUUCAAGAUCAAGUCCUGAAGUCAGAACUGAGUGAGAUCAACUAAGAAAAGCAUCAGAGGUCGACAUAAAAUAUUUUGUCUUGCAUCCUGUAGUUUCAGUUAGACAUAUAUGGAAUUAUAACCCCAAGUCUACCUCAACUCCAUUUCCUGGUAAAUCUUAUUGUUUUAUUUAACAGGAAGAAAGGACUACUGAAAGAAAUAGGAAGCCAAAAGAGAUCAGUGAAGAAAAUAAAUCUUCCAACAUAAGAAAAUAUAAAGCAGAUAAUGAAAGCCAGUGUCUGCCUGUCAUAUGUGUCUUUGAAAAUGUCUCCUGAAGCCCAGCAAUAUAAUGGAGUGCAGUUUUGAUGCUGACUGCUCAGAAGAACAGUCAGUCAAUGAGUCCCGCUGUUGUGAACAAGAAGUCUGCAACUGUCAACAAGAUCUUACCAGACUUCCAUUAAGACACCUUUUGCAUUGUCAUGCAGCAACAGGACAGGAAUGAGAUUCCUUCUGUACUUCUUGUACAGGACACUCUACAGGAUACCGGACUGCUCUUUAUUACUGUCCCUAACCUAAGGUACUGAAAAACUUCUACAGUCUUCUCAGAAACCUGUUCUCACAAGGAUUCAGAAACAGGUUGGGAAAGAAAUAAAAGCUACAUCCACACUUCUUUCCCAUCUUGCCCCAGGGAAAGAUGCACAGGGAAAAAGAUAGCACCAGAGCAAGGAGAGAAUCAUUGUCCCUGGAUAUUUUUCCUUACUUGGAGAAAUUAAAAGUUACAGGAAUUAGAUGAGCUUGUCUAACUUUGAACAUGAUAAUGAUUUUUAUUUUUUUUCCCCAUGAUGUUCUCUGGAAAUAAGGUUUCCAUAAGGUUCAAAUUACUAAUGCAUCAUUUGAAAAAAAACUUCCUUGUAUUUAUUUUAAUUUUGGAGAAUGAUCAAACUCCUAGCUCUUCUGUUUUGAGUGUCUUAUCUCCUUUUGGAUGUUUCUUUCCAAGCUAAAAAGUCUUUUUUUAGUUAGCCUUUCUUCAUGUCUGAUUUUAUUUGCUGGCCUACUCUGCACCCUUUUUACUGUAUCCUUCUUGAGUAUCUACACUAAGUAUUCAACAUAUAGAAUGCUUACAUUUUGUACCAUGGUGCAGAUAAUUUUUUUAAGCAUUUUAUUUGAUAACUUUUUUUUUCCCCUGAGUUUAUGAUUGUGUUAUAUUUAUAAAUUUGUUUUUCUCUGUCCAUGUAUAUCACUAUGCAUUUCAUAACACUGAAUUUCAUUUCCCAAUUUACAUCUCUGUAACUUAGUCUGAUAAGGUCCAGCAAAACCUUAGGCAUAUUUGAUUUUUACUAUGAUGACUAAUUUUGUGUCAGCAGCAAAUUUUAUCACCUCACUAAUUUCUCCUUCUUUCAGAUCAUUUAUAAAUACAUGGAAUAGCACAAGUUCCAGAAAAGAUUCUUGGGUGUAUCAAUGGUAAACUUUCUAUUUAACUUUGCACUAGCUUUUUGGAAAUUCAAUAAUUGAACUGAAAUUCAAUAACGCUAUAUUUGCCAGAAGCCUUUUAUCCCUUGCUUUAUGACUGUUCCAAAGGAUCUAACAGGUCUGUGAAGCAUGACAACCAUGCUGAUUUUUCUGUAAUGUUUUGUAUUUAUGGAUAGGAAACUAUUCCUGUUUUAUUAUAAUGCCUACCAGUUUUCCUACACCAGAAGACUUGUGGAGUUGUACUUUUCUGAAACUUCUCUUAAAAAUUGGCCUAAUGUUCUCUGUUUUCUUAUACAAAGCUUAGCUGUACAAGUUAGAUAUAUGUUUUAGUAAAACAUUUUAGAAGUUAUUAGUUGUGUAACUUUGUACUCUAUAUCUCUUAAGCCAAUCCUUAAAUUUGUAAAAUUUUCAGACUUGGCUCCUCAAAUAUGUUCAAACCUUUCUACAGUAAAAACAGGGACAUUACAACCAAAUUUAACUUUGUAACUUUUUUUUUCCUUUUUUUUUUUUUUCACUACCACCUAGGUAAUUUCAUAUCCUGACUGACUUUCUGGUAGGCUCCAUUUUCUGAUGCAUUUUUAAAAAUCCUAUUAGAUUUUUUUCUGCCUUUUGCAAUUUUCUUCUCAAGGACUUUGCUGACCUGCUUCAUUGCCGUUCUGUGUGUCACAUGCCAAUUUCUGGGUUUUGUUUGUUUUUGUUGUUGUUUUUAUUUUUUUCCCAUUAUUUGGACAAUAAAGGGAACACAAAUACUUGUUUUUCCUCUCAAACUGUUAACCACUGUCUGGCAAUGCAGUGAAGGGAUUCAGUCCCCCUGGAUGAAAUGUCUUCACAGAAAAACUAGGGAGGUAUGUGAGAGUUUCUUCAAAGCAAAAAUAGUUUUGCCAAGGACAAUAGCACAUCUCUAAACUAUUCCUAGUACUGCAAAACUUCAGAAAUGUAGCUGGUUUAAUCCAGUAGGUUUAACCUUUGAGUAGAGAUAUUAAAUACUGCAUGAAAUAUGAACUGCUGAGUGACAUUUGCCUAAAAUGUCACCUUAUAAAACUCCUGAGUUAGAAAGGAAUCUUUAAAGAUAGCAUAUAAAACUCUCUGUUAAACUGGCAGUCACAUUUGUUACUGGUUAUCACAGGUUUUUCAAGAAAAGUGUUUUCAAGAAGUCUGCUAAUUCCUGAAGUGAGAGUCACUGAAACAACUACUCCAACUGGACACAGCAGCAGCAGAAGAAACAGACAAAUUUCAGAGGGGGAAGGUUCUUUCUCCCUCCUUUGCCCAAUCACAGUGGACACCACAUGGCUCCUCUCUAAUCUGGUCAUGGUCCUCUCAGUUUACUUCUCAUUGAUGAAUCUUCCCUUUUUCACUUUCAUUUCUCUAAUUUUUCUUAUUGAUGCUCAUCCACAAAUACCAAGACCAGAGGCCAAAGUCAAGUGAGAAACAAAUCCUAUCUUUCAAUAUCUUUUAAUAUAUAAUAUAUAUAUAUAUUCAUACUUAGUUAUACAAGAAAAAUGGAAUUAUAUCUGCCACAUUUUCAGUGUCCCCUGGCAUUAUAGGAAUUCUGUCCUGCAGUAGAUCUCUGCCCUUCAUUUAAUUCACCUAUUUCACUUUGAUCUUCCUGGAAGAAAAUGUUUCUUAAAUAAAUUCCAACUGCACUGCAGAGUUCCUGACAACUGUUCUUGGAUGUCCUAAUGAAGAGACUAGAAGAUUGUUACUCUAGAGCAUGUUGAUCUACUAUGAUGAUCCAACAAAGUUUUGCAGUAGUUUGUGCUAAUGGCAUUACUUUUUACUUCAGCAAGGUAGACUUUUGUGCCUUACAAUCACUGUUGAUACUGCAUUCCUAGUAAUAGUUUUAGAGACUGAAUGCCCAUUAAGAACAACAGGUUUUAAACUGUAAAAUUAUGUACAGUGUCAUUUUUGCUUUGUAUUCUGUUACCGCAACUAAGCAAUCGAUGGAAGUCACCAUUGUAAGUCCCUUGAAUUUGCUGUGCGUACCACAUUACAGAGAAACACUUUUAGUAUUAAAUCCCUUUGUAUUUGAAAGCAGCACAAAUUGAUAAAAAUCAAUGCGCUUUAUAUUUUAGAUGGUAAAAAAUAUUAUUAUUAUUAUUAUUUCCUUAUUUCAAAGCCAGAAAAGAACCACAUGCAUUUUUUUUCCCCUCCAAAUUACACAAAACUCUUCAGGUAUGUACUCUGAUGAUCCCAGGUCAUAUUGUUUCUUUUAACAGAAUUUUCAGAACAGAUGAGUACAAACAACUCAUGCAGCAAAGACCUUCAUUUACCUCCCAAUAUAUUCAUUUUCUCAGGUUAAUACAAAUAACAGUGGAUGAGGUCAUGGUCACCUUAUUGAGGCUUAUGGAUCACCUCCUGAGAUUAACACUCAGUACAAAGCUGCCUACUUAGAUGAUACAAGCCAUCUAUGAUGAAGACUGGAAAUGCAACCUGCAGAGACUCAUGCCUGCUCUGUAAUCACUGCAAAACAUAGGUCACACUUGACUUGGCCAAAUAUUCUGCUAGCUGAUGAACAACCCCUUAUCUAGCAUACAACAUGGAAAAUAGCUAGGGAAGUGUGUCAUUUUUAAAACUGCCUCUGUGGCUUAGAAUUUGACCACAAUAUUCAAGGAAGCCUGUUGUGGGUUAACUCUGACAGGCAGCUAAACACUGCAAAAUUGCUUGCUCACUUUCCCUGUUGCAGGAUGAGGAACAGAAUAGAAAGAGUAAAAGUGAGAAAAUGUGUGGGUCAAAAGAAAGACAGUUUGAUAAGUGAACAAAAGUGGCACACACAAGCAAAAUGAAAUAAAUUAUUCAGUCACUACUUCCCAUUAUCAUGCAGGAAAGCAAGGCUUCUUUACAUGUAAUAGUUACUUGGGCAGACCAACACCAUAACCCUGAAUGUCCCCAGGGUUAAAAGAAACCCUUCGUUUCCCCAGAUUUUGCUGCUGACCAUGGCAUCAUAUAGCAUGGAAUAUCCCUUUGGUCAGAUGGGGUCAGUUAUCCUGGCUGAAUCCCUUCCUAACUUAUUGUGCAUCCCCAGCCUACUCAUGGCAGGGGACAAAGUAAGAUACAGGGAAGGCCUUGAUGCUGUGUAAGCACUACUCACAAUAGCCAAAACUGCUCUGUUAUCAUCAACAUUGCUUUGGUCACAAAUUCAAAACAUAGCAUAAUAUGAGCUGCUAUAAAGAAAGUAAACUCCAUGCCAGAUUAAAAAAAAAAAAAAAAAAAAAAAAAAAGUGUGAUCUCUACUCUAUCCAUACCACCAGGGAUUGUGGGAUCUAAGCAUGACAUAAAAGAUCAAAAACGCACAGUUAGGGAGCUUAACAAGAUCACCAGCCAUUCUUCUGGUAAUGCUGCUGAGCUCUGACUCUUUCUACAAUAUCUGACAAAUAUAUUUUCAAAAAAUAGCUAUUUAAAGAAAGAUCUGAAAGAUCUGAGGUGACUGGACCUGCUGACAGAGUGAGAUACUUCGAAGGAGACGUGCUGGAAUCAGAUUCCCCUCGGAUGCAUUUUCAUUUUGCAGGGAAAGAAGGUCUCUCUUAGAACUGUGUUUGAAUGGGAAAUAGUACAACGUUUUUCCUUUUCUACAUGGAUCCUACUCUGUCAUUUCAACAAGGAGACUGUACCCAGCAUUACCUUACUCGAUGACAUUGCAAAGUCUAUGAUCAGUUUAAAACAUUCUAAAUUUGUCUCUUCUCUAUGUUUAGUUAUUUCAUCUAACAUUGGCUCUUUAUUAACAUAUAAAUAUAAACAUAGUUAUUGAUUCUUCAUCCAAAAUCAUUGCUGUAGACGGCUCUAAAUCUGAAAUAAAAAGUGGGGUUCUAAAGAUUAAAAUGAUUACUUUGGUACUGGCAGUAAAAUGACAUUGUAUACAGAUUUUUCAUCACCCUGAAGGAGUGGGGGGUGAGGGGGAAGAAAAGAAAGAGAACUUUAAUAAUGAAAAGUGCUUGCAACAGCUUUAUGCAUAAGAAGGAGUACCAAAGGUGAUUCAUGUGACCCAGGGAAUGAAGAAUAAUUAAUAAAAUACAAGAGAAAUGAGAUUUGGUUCUUCUGGGAGAAGAACAGCUAGAAAUCUGAGGGGAAUAAACAUAAGAAAUACAGAAAGAAUAGUUAAUUGUUAGAUAACACUGAAACAUAAAUUAAUGUUCUAAUAGGACACAAUCAAACAUACACUGAAACAAGUUUACUUUCCAGAAUAUAAACUUUAGCAUAAAAUGCUAACAAUGACAUUCAAAGAAAGAAAAAUAACACACACACGCAUAAAUAUACAAUGAAGUGGGAAAAAAAAAGUUUAGGAAAAGUCUAGGAAUACACAGGAAGUCUAAGACUGGCAUUUUGUUUUCAUUUUUCUUUCAGUAUUCUAGAACGCUAUGCAAGAGGCCAUGCAUGGGGUAAAUUUCUUGAGAAAGUCAAACAAUCUCCUGUUUACUUAUUUAUUUGUUUAUUAUUACAGGUUUCCAGUAUGUAAGUAUAACUGUUUACAUAGAUGCCCAGAAGACUUAAGUCAUCACUAAGUUCCUGAUCUAGUAGAAGUAGAAAUGCUUGGCUUCUGUAUUACUAAAUAAUUUCUGUUAUCUAAACGCUAGCAAAACCUCUGUCCAACGAAAAAUUCUUAAAAUAAGUCUCAGGAAAGGAAAGAAAGUCUUUUAUCAAGACACAGCUACAGUGCUUUUAAACUUUGAAAUAAAAUUACUGAGAAUAUAACAUACAUUAAGUCCAAUUUUCCAGAAAACAAGUAGGAAAAUAAGUUUUUGCUCAGGAAUAGAACUCUGUUUUUGCAGGCAAAAAAUAAAUAAAUAAAUAAAUAAAGAGUGCUUUUGGAUUUCUCUCAAAGUGUCUCAAACACUUGUUGCUCUCAUUUUUGUCACAUACAAAUGUUCACACAACCUUCCAUAAUCCAUUUGUACCCUGGUGUCAGUCCUGGCAGCCAACCCCCAAAGAACCCACUCAUCUAUAUUGUUCACCUUCUGCUGAGCCUUAUGCUUCCCUGCACUUCUGGCAGUGGCCUCCACCACACCAGCUGAACCACCAAAUGCAAAUUUAGACAGGGUUGAAUAAGUUUGGACUCCCUGGACCCAUUAGUGACAGCUGCUCUGGCACAUGCUCUCUGGAGCCAUAUGGCAGGAAUGCUCAGGGCUCCCCUUUGGAGACAGGUUGCACCUAUUCCUGACUUCCCAAAUGUUUAAUUGCUCCUUCCACUGACACUGAAAGCAAUGACCCAAGAGCGGUGAUGACAAUAUUCCAACAUAAUACAAUUUUAGUUAUGGGUCGUAGGAAAAUGUAAUAUUUUAUUACAUGCAAAUUAAUUUGGAUAUAGUAUCAAAAUGCAUUCUUUACAUCCAGGGCUCCUGGUCUCAACAUCCUGUAACAAAUUAAGGGAUAUCUCAGCAAAAGAGGGAAAAAAAAAAAAAAAAAAAAAAAAAAAAAAAGAUUAAUCACUUCUAAUUUGAAUUAUAUGUGUUUUACUUAUUGCUCACUAUGGAGCUUGGAGAAUCAAAUGAAAAUUUACUUUUUCUUUACUUUUAUCUUUAUUAUCUUUACCUUUAUCCUUAUCAUCUUUAUCAUUUUUUUUUUAUCUUAUCUUAAUCUUUUUCUUUGUCUCUUUUAUGUUUUACCAUGGAUUUCAAGUGCUCAGCAGUGUUUGAUAGACUGAAAUUUGGGGAUUUAGGCAAUGUGAAGUAGACUACAGAGUUAAUUGCUUCAGUAUCACCUGAGCAUUAAAUUCUCUAGUACUCCUAGGGUACUAAUUGUACUUUGAAAUCCCUCUAGUGAUUGGUUUUGUCCUGGUAUCUUAUGAACAACAAGGCUCAAAAAACCCUUGUGAGAUAGAUUUCAUUACAGCUUUUAAAUAGUUAUAUAAACUGGACUGCAAAGAGAUCAAGUUCCUUGCUCAGUGGUGUGCUGUGAAUCUAUGAUAGACUCAGCAAUAGACCUGAAAUGACCUAUAGCAGUUUCCUUUCCUUUUACUGACAGGCUGUAUUUUCUCAGAUAACAAAUUGCACAGGCCUUUUUUUUGCCCUAUAGAAUACAAAUUAUCAGUAGCUGGAGUUAGACUUUUACUCUUUUUUAGGAGGCAGCAUAAUGUUUUCACAAUUAGGCAGUUUCCUGAUGGGAAAAUUUUGCUUGUUUUUGUAAAGUUUUAGAGCUCCACAAACCUUCUGUCUGUUCCGUUAUUUUAGAUAUCUUUUUUUUUUUUUUUUUUUUUUUUUUUUGUAAAACAAACAAACAACCAAAAAACAAACCUUUUGAUUUGUGCACAUUUAUUUUACCUUCCUACUUUCUAGACCUGGUCUGGAAGUCGAAAAUAGAAAGGAAUCUUCUGAAGUCCUUUUUCAACGGUAGUGCUUAUGAACAAAUUGGUAUGGGAGAGGAAGAGAGAGUUGUAAUUCAUUAUAAGGACUUCAGAACAACAAACCACUGCCUUAGGGAAAAAGUAAAAAAAUAAGAAAUAAAUAAAGAAAAAAGAAUGUAGGCAAUUGUGUCUUUCUUUCAGUUGUUAAUAAAAUGGAAGCAACAUUUUACAAAGCUGUAAGAGAAGUUCUGUCAGAGAUCUCUUUAUCUGAGACAUCAAUAUAAGGCAUUAAAGCAAAUUCUUCAUUCAGAUCCCAUCCUUUUUCUCCAUUAGAAUCAGCACUAUUUUCAGAUCCAAACUGCCUCAGCGAGCACUUAUUGUCAGGGAAAUAGCUGUUACAAAAUGAGAUGCAGAGUCUAGAGUAGCGUCAACAAAAUAUUGCACAGUCUGGUGCAAUAACAGUGAAGAAUCCCUUUCACUUCCCACUAAACAAGCAAAAUUGUGGAAAACAGCCCUAGCAUUGAAGCUACUCAGCUUCUUAAGCACUGAGUGUUUGUUUCAUUUCCUUUGAUGGUAUUUGUCAACCAUCUUCUGUUAUGCAAUAUAACAAAUGGUAAGAGCCCGGUUUUGCACAGCUGACUUGAGCUGUCUCCAGUGACCAACAGCCAUGAAAUCAAUGGCUCUUCAUUUGCUUUUGAUCUCAUAUCUCCUACAUGUUUCCUAACUGAUUGCUAGCUUUACCAGCCCACCAACACACAGGUUACUUUCAUUUACUAUAAGACACAUGUUCAACAUACCUGUAAACAGUUUUACAAUGAUUUGUUUGUACACUCUGACUGUGUAAUGCCAUUCUUAGACUGGAAAUGGUGUCUGUUAGCAUUUGCUAGUCCUCCGCUGGGCAAGAGGUAUGUUGGAUCAAUUAACAUAUGGCCAGUAGACUCCCUGAGCAACUAAUUACUCCACCAUUCAUUGUCAAAUAGUGAACUCUGGUGAGAAAGUUAGGUCUUUACCAUAUAAUGCAUGAGGACCCUGUUUAGAUACCAGGUCAGCAUGAGGUCACAGGUGUGAUAAACACUCUUUCCUAAGCCAGUAAAACUAUCAUACUAUGUUGGAACAAGCCUUAACCUUCACUGUACUGAUCAGCCUUGACCUGUUUCACAUUAUUUUAAGAUGCUCGAGGGAUCAGUCUGGAUGCUAGCAAGACAAACACCUACAUAGCAGAUGCUUCAUGUUUCUUAAGGACAGUGAAUGAAAAUACAAAAAUGGUUUAAGCAUUGAAAAGAUUAAUUCCUUAGCCAGUUAUCUUGCCUCCAUAACCUAACUUUUGCUUUGUUCUGUUUCAGAAACAGGAAUGGAUGGAGGAAUGAGAGGGUAUUUAUUCCAUAGCUCACUGCUCUGGGCUAUAUAGAAAUAUCUGUUUGAGUUCUCAGUAUGCUGACAAGCCCAAAGAACAGCUCUGCAUUGUACAAAGAUUUGACUAAGAAGCAGUCUGAUUCCCAUAAGGGUAGCUGCACAGCAUUGCAGCAUGGCAUGCAGUGCAGUGCAUAAGCUGCUUACAUGUAUUAGCUUGAUUGAAGAUAGACAAUCAUGUACAGUAGUGGAGGUAAUUGAAGCUUCAGUAAAUUCAAAGUAUUUCCGUAUAACAUGGAAUCCUACAUAUUUCCCACAUCUACUCACUCAGUAGUUCAAAAGACUGAAUGAAGGAAACUUGUAUUGGUAUUAAAACAGUUUAAAAACUUCACUUAAAAAGAUCUGUCUUUCAGCUGAAAGUUUUAGAGAAAAAAAUAUGCUCCUGGAGUUUAAUAAUUGUUUUUCAAUAGGUCUGCAUAUCUUUGGAGUCCAAGUCCCACUGACAUGGAAUGAAAAUUAUGCUCUCCCUUGUCUUAGAGGACUUUAAAAAUCAAGACAAAUAUUCCAAAAUUACUGGAGUACCUUUGAAAAGUUUCACCUCAACCACUGCCGUGGACUGCUGCAUAUAUAUGAGAUCAGGAUUAUGUUUCAUGUUCUUGUUUCUCUUAACUAAGAAAAUGAUUUCACCUUCUUUUCACUGCUAUAAACAUCAUGUAUGAGUAUAACUUAAAGGCAACAAGCUUUUAUUUCCACUAUCAGCCUAUGGUUAAAGUGAAUUAUAAAUGAGAAAAAUGUCAACAAUUCAGUUCACAGAUUCUCUAGAGUUAACCUAUGUGGCAUUUUAAACCUAUCAUUAUAGCAAAUAGUCUAGCCUUAAUAAAAGAAAGAUAAUGGAUGCUGUAGUACAUAAAUUGUUAAAGGAAAAUAUUCCAGCCAAGUUAAAACAGAGAGCAUUAAAAAUCAUCCUCUUAUUCUAUCUGUUAAGUCAGGUUAGAUCAAAUAAAGUGAUUUUACGCUUUGA